rnacentral:rRNA from 1 species
UACGUAGGGGGCAAGCGUUGUCCGGAUUUAUUGGGCGUAAAGAGCGUGUAGGCGGCUAGGUAGGUCCGUUGUGAAAACUCGAGGCUCAACCUCGAGCUGUCGAUGGAAACCAUCUGGCUAGAGUCCGGAAGAGGAGAGUGGAAUUCCUGGUGUAGCGGUGAAAUGCGCAGAUAUCAGGAGGAACACCGGUGGCGAAGGCGGGUCUCUGGGCCGAUACUGACGCUGAGGAGCGAAAGCGUGGGGAGCGAACAGG